CUUUUGUAAAUCUAACACAUAUACUUUUAUCAGCAUGCCUAAUAUGUCUAUGUAUUUAUAUGUUAUGUACACCAUGUUUCACUACUGAAAAUAGGUAAAAGAGCUCUAAUUAAUUGGCUUAAGAAAAUAAAAGUGCUUGGGCCGGGCGCGGUGGCUCAAGCCUGUAAUCCCAGCACUUUGGGAGGCCGAGACGGGCGGAUCACGAGGUCAGGAGAUCGAGACCAGCCUGGCUAACACGGUGAAACCCCGUCUCUACUAAAAAAAUACAAAAAACUAGCCGGGCGCGGUGGCCGGCGCCUGUAGUCCCAGCUACUCGGGAGGCUGAGGCAGGAGAAUGGCGUGAACCCGGGAGGCGGAGCUUGCAGGAGAAUGGCGUGAACCCGGGAGGCGGAGCUUGCAGUGAGCUGAGAUCCGGCCACUGCACUCCAGCCUGGGUGACAGAGCCAGACUCCGUCUCAAAAAAAAAAAAAAAAAAAAAACCACAAACAAACCAGAAAGUGACUGGCAUUGACAAGCAGAUAUCCCCAUGUACUCCCUUGAAGUGGCCACUUGGGCCUUUGAAAUGAGCGGAUAUGGGUGUAUUGUAACAGGGCA
rnacentral:lncRNA from 1 species